rnacentral:lncRNA from 1 species
CAGCUCUGUCCUUUAGCAGCUCUGUCCUUUAGCAGCUCUGUCCUUUAGCAGCUCUGCCCUGUUCUAGACUGUCCUUUAGCAGCUCUGCCCUGUUCUAGACUGUCCUUUAGCAGCUCUGUCCUUUAGCAGCUCUGUCCUUUAGCAGCUCUGCCCUGUUCUAGACUGCCCUUUAGCAGCUCUGCCCUUUAGCAGCUCUGUCCUUUAGCAGCUCUGCCCUGUUCUAGACUGUCCUUUAGCAGCUCUGCCCUGUUCUAGACUGUCCUUUAGCAGCUCUGCCCUGUUCUAGACUGUCCUUUAGCAGCAUGCCUUCCAGUUUUUCCACCAGGUGUUCAUCAGUGCCACCAGUCCCUCAACCUCAGUGACAGCAGCUUAUAAACCACUCACUCCCCUUGGUGUCAAAUGUGAAAUAUUUGCUGCUGUGAAUCACUGGUGGCCAUUUAAAUCAAGGAAGGUGGGCUCAUAGUAAUGGCUGGAAUGGUACAAAUGGAACAGUAUUAAACAUGGUUGGAUUCCAGCCAUAAUUAUGAGCUCUCCUUCCCUCACCAACCUCCACUGGAUGUGAAUAAAACCGGUAUGUGUUAUUGGGCGGUGCGCUCGGCUGGGACUAAGAAGAAAAACCUGAAUACACACCCAUCCUGUCUGGCAUCUACCUCUGAGAGGUGUUACCUCAGUUUCACUCUGUGUCAAGAGACACUUCAGGAAGGACGAUUAUCCACGCACACCAAGAGCUGCUCUAGGAAUAAGACUAUUUAGAAAACAACAAACUAUAGUUUACUUUAAGAGAAAGUUAGAAGUAUUUAUUUUUUUAAUAUAAAGGAGUGGGAGUCGAACUUGUUGACACGGUGAAAGGUAAACGUUGAAAUAACAAUACUAUACAAUUCUCUUUAAUUUUAGCUGGUUAGUUUUUGCUUUAAUUAACAAUGUCACUGUGCCUCAGCCUUGUACAGUUCUGCACCGCAGUCUUCAACACAGACCCAUUGUUCAUAACACUAGAGUUUAAUUAUAUGAAGUGCCUUGGUCCUCCAUUGUUUUUUACUAUUUAACCCUUUUACUAAAGGGCACCUUCCCUCUACAAAGAUCUGCUGUAUCCUUAGCAACACUUCCUUCCUCUUCUACUAAGUUCUCUCAACACCUAUGUUCAAGGCUACAAAAUAUGUGGUAAAAGGUACUUUACAGCUGUGGUUUUAAACAGCACAGGCAGCCAAUCGGGAUGUUUACCCCAUUUAUUUAAAGUAGAAAGUGGCUUCAGCUCGUAAUUCUAAAAACUGUGCCCUAGAUUUAGAUAUAAACAGGUUUUUGAUGAAAGGAUGACUGUGUAGCUAGAUCUAGCAGCAAAUCAGAACUGCUAAUCAUAUUACAAUGAACUUAUAUCUACCAUGGUAAGUGACUCCAUCAUAGUGUGCUGAAUAAGGGUUAGUAUAGGGUUCAAUUCCAGUGAGGUGAAUUCUGUUGAUUGUGGUGCUGAGUAUGUGGGUGUCUUUGGUGUGAUUUAGUCCAUGUCUUCAGGUAGAGGGUUCCUCUGUGAUGUUACUAGACGUGGUUUAGUCCAUGUCUUCAGGUAGCAGGUCCGUCUGUGAUGUUACUAGACGUGGUUUAGUCCAUGUCUUCAGGUAGCGGGUCCCUCUGAUGUCACUAGACGUGGUUUAGUCCAUGUCUUCAGUUAGAGGGUCCCUCUGAUGUCACUAGACAUGUCAGGGAUCACAAUAAUACAGCUUUGUUAUUCACAGGAUGUAACACCUUUUGUGGAUAAGACAAUGACUAUUGAUUUACUGAUGUAUUGAUUAACAAAUGAAUUGUUCCCUUCUCUCUCUCGGCAGUGACCAGGCAGCUGAGACGUUGGCUCAUCACUAUAUUGAUUUGCAGAUUGCUUUGAUAACAAAUUUAUGGACACUUUUUCCCUGUUUUCAGCAGUCGCCAGACAGACAUGGGCUGCUGCUUCAGCGGGUCUGAGGGGGACGGAGAGGGGGACAUGAAGCACGGGGGGGACAGCGGCUGUAAGACGUGCUGUCUGAAGACCAGGAACUGCGUGAUGAGUGGAGAGUGUGGACGGGCUCUUCAGAUUGCCAACGUCUGUGCCAUGUGUGGAAUGUGCAUCCGCAUGUUUGUCUAGCUGCGACUCCAUGAGGUCAGACCUGCUCUCAUUCCCAUGGUAGCUGUACAGAGAGCUGUGAACAAUAGGACCGGUAUGCCACUCUCCCAUGGGUGGAUCACCUGGGAUCCAGCCAUGUUACAAAAGACACACACCCUGGACCCGCCCUGUGCCUUAGUGCCAAUAGAAUCAGCACCCUGGACCCGCCCUGUGCCUUAGUGCCAAUAGAAUCAGCCCCCUGGACCCGCCCUGUGCCUUAGUGCCAAUAGAAUCAGCCCCCUGGACCCGCCCUGUGCCUUAGUGCCAAUAGAAUCAGCCCCCUGGACCCACCCUGUGCCUUAGCGCCAAUGGAAUCAGCACCCUGGAGCCAAGCAGGAAGGAAUGUGAAGCGUAUCCUGUAAUUGAUGUCCUUGUGCAAUAGUACUUGUCUUCCUCUUCUGUUGUAAAACAUCUUGGAACAGUGUGCCCUAAUGAACAUGACUCUGUCCUGCUGCUGUUUAUGCAGAGCUCCAGCUGGAGAGGGAACAGGCAGUAGACUAGGCCCAACAGGCAGUAUGUAUGCACAAACACAAACACAUUGUUCAAGCCACCAAGUGGCCUUUUGAGUACUGGAAGAUCACGCAGGGAGUAGGUGGAAACAUAUUCAUACCGGCGAAGAGACUGUACCACCAGGAACACUCGGCUGUGAGGGGAAAUUAUGUUUGUUGUGGAGAGAGGAGGGGGACCGAUACGGGGGCAGAGAGAGAGAGGGAUGAGAGCGGAGCUAGAGACAACAAUCUUUUUCAUGCCAAAUUCUCAAUAAAACGAUGCUUACAGGAAGACACCAGAAUGUACCAGAUAUAAAAUCUGAUAAUCCUUAUUGUAACAAAGUGGUUUGGAUGGAAAAGUGCUCAUAGACUGUGUCCCAGAUGGCACCCUAUUCCCUUCAUAGUGCACUACUGAUAAGAGGAGGAAACUACUAGAUGAACUGAGCAUGCUGAAACAAACCUUUGUGACAAACCAGUCACAGUGGUAGGAUGUCCAUGUCCUCAGAAAAUCAUUCCAUCUCUCUGAGUGUCCCAGAUGGCACUUGAUUCCCUUCAUAGUGCACUACUUCUGACCAGGGGGUGUAGGGUGAAUAGGGUGCUAGGCAGGUUGUGAGGAUCUCUCGUUCUCCUUAAGUAUCUAAAAACCAAGUGUGUUGAUACAGAAUUGUGCCUUUCAGACUGGACUACAGUACCAUGUUGACCUAUUCUUCACUGCUGAGGUGAACCUUCCCUCUUCCAAACUUUCUUUUAUCUGUAGAAAGUAUUUUUCAUCAAUGCUCUUAUGCUCCUUGACAGUCCAAUAUGUAAGAAAAGAGAUGUGCUUUUUUUAUGAUUCAUUUGUUUUUUGUAGGGUGUUUUUAUAUAGUCUUUUGGGGGUGAAUUGUCUUCAUGAUGUCUAUUGGGAUGAUCAUUUAUUGUGCUCAGAAAAUAAUUUCUAUACUGUAGGUGUCGUAGCUAGGGAAGAAACUAUCGGUAUGGUUCAGGCUGUGUCCCCAAUGGCACCCUAUUCCCUAUGCAGUGCACUACUUUAGACUAGAGCCCUAUGCAUCCUGGCCUAAAGUUGUACACUAUAUAGAUAGUCGGAUGCAAUUUGGGACGCAGUACUUUGUUGUAGUGAUGACUACACACCAUUUCUAUGUUCACAUUGUGUAAUGUAUUACUUAAUAAAGAACUACCAAGUGUACCGC